rnacentral:lncRNA from 1 species
GAGCAUAUCUAGAAAUUUGCAAAACAAAAACUUUGCUUAAAACAUUUUUAUCAACUAUUAAUUAUAAAAGAUGGUAAUCCACAAGCUUCAAUCUCAAAUCUUAUCAAAUGAAAUAUUUACACAUGGGAAAAAUUAGCUAGCUGCAAAAAAGUCAUGAGCAAAACAAUUAACUACGAUCCAAAGAAAAGAAAAGAAAAAAGUAGCAUGUAGGGGGAAAAAUAGAGAGAGAGAGAAAAAGGAGAUAUGAUCCACCAUUGAAAAUAUGAUCCAAAGAAAAGAUGAUCCAAAGAAAAGAAAAAAGUCGCUUAUGUUCUAACGAAGGAAAAAAUAGAGAGA